ensembl:lncRNA
GGGAAGGCUGAGAUCAGCCCCGCCCAGCAGAGGCCAGAUGAGCUGGGGACUGGAAUCUUUCUUCCGACAUCGUGGCAGCUCAUCUGCAGACCUUUACAACCUUCUGUUCCCAGCAGCCCCUCAGCACAGCUGACCGGGGGUUCUUCGGGAGCUGCCUCCAUUCACAGGGCAGGAGGCCAAGAUGGAACACAAACCAAUGACAUCAACAGAGCCACCAGCCUUUCAUUAGAGCUACAAGCAGAGCCCAGCGGCCACAGCACCGCAAACCUAAAGGCUCCGGGAGACGCAGGCCCCAGCCUGGUGGAAAUCAACGACAGGUCACAGAGAACUGCCUGGAAGGUGGCCUCCACGAGGACAAGGACCACAUCUACCUUUGCUCUUCACUGUGCCCCGUCUGUAGCAUAUUCAAAAGCAGAGACAUUACUUUGCCAACAAAGGUCCGUCUAGUCAAGGCUAUGGUUUUUCCUGUGGUCAUGUAUAGAUGUGAGAGUUGGACUGUGAAGAAGGCUGAGCACCAAAGAAUUGAUGCUUUUGAACUGCGGUGUUGGAGAAGAUUCUUGAGAGUCCCUUGGACUGCAAGGAGAUCCAACCAGUCCAUUCUGAAGGAGAUCAGCCCUGGGAUUUCUUUGGAAGGAAUGAUGCUAAAGCUGAAACUCCAGUACUUUGGCCACCUCAUGUGAAGAGUUGACUCAUUGGAAAAGACUCUGAUGC